rnacentral:rRNA from 1 species
GAUGAACGCUAGCUACAGGCUUAACACAUGCAAGUCGAGGGGAAACGAUGAGAGAGCUUGCUCUCUUAGUCGUCGACCGGCGCACGGGUGAGUAACGCGUAUCCACCCUGCCUCUGACCAAGGGAUAACCCGUCGAAAGUCGGACUAAUACCUUAUGCAGUCGUCGGAAGUCAUCUGAUGACGACGAAAGAUUUCAUCGGUGAGAGAUGGGGAUGCGUCUGAUUAGCUUGUUGGCGGGGUAACGGCCCACCGAGGCGACGAUCAGUAGGGGUUCUGAGAGGAAGGUCCCCCACAGUGGAACUGGGAAAAGGUCCAAACAGCUACGGCAGGCAGCAGUGCGGAAUAUUGAUCAAGGGGCGAAAGCCUGAACCAGCCAAGUAGCGUGCAGGAAGACGGCCCUAGGGGUUGUAAACUGCUUUUAUGCGGGGACAAAGUGAGGGACGGGUCCGUCAUUGCAGGUACCGCAUGAAUAAGGACCGGCUAAUUCCGUG